rnacentral:rRNA from 1 species
UACCAGCACCCCGAGUGGUCGGGACGUUUAUUGGGCCUAAAGCAUCCGUAGCCGGUUCUACAAGUCUUCCGUUAAAUCCAACUGCUUAACAGGUGGGCUGCGGAAGAUACUAUAGAGCUAGGAGGCGGGAGAGGCAAGCGGUACUCGAUGGGUAGGGGUAAAAUCCGUUGAUCCAUUGAAGACCACCAGUGGCGAAGGCGGCUUGCCAGAACGGGCUCGACGGUGAGGGAUGAAAGCGGGGGGAGCAAACCGG